AGACCCGAAACCCGGUGAUCUAGCCAUGGGCAGGUUGAAGGUUGGGUAACACUAACUGGAGGACCGAACCGACUAAUGUUGAAAAAUUAGCGGAUGACCUGUGGCUGGGGGUGAAAGGCCAAUCAAACCGGGAGAUAGCUGGUUCUCCCCGAAAGCUAUUUAGGUAGCGCCUCGUGAAUUCAUCUCCGGGGGUAGAGCACUGUUUCGGCUAGGGGGCCAUCCCGGCUUACCAACCCGAUGCAAACUGCGAAUACCGGAGAAUGUUAUCACGGGAGACACACGGCGGGUGCUAACGUCCGUCGUGAAGAGGGAAACAACCCAGACCGCCAGCUAAGGUCCCAAAGUCAUGGUUAAGUGGGAAACGAUGUGGGAAGGCCCAGACAGCCAGGAUGUUGGCUUAGAAGCAGCCAUCAUUUAAAGAAAGCGUAAUAGCUCACUGGUCGAGUCGGCCUGCGCGGAAGAUGUAACGGGGCUAAACCAUGCACCGAAGCUGCGGCAGCGAACGUAUCACUUAAAGCGAUUCAGCGGGUUACGAUUGACGGAGCGAAGCGACGUCAAAGCGUAUACAAAGUCGAGUCGGUUUAAGGAUACGUUCGUUGGGUAGGGGAGCGUUCUGUAAGCCUGUGAAGGUGUGUCGUGAGGCAUGCUGGAGGUAUCAGAAGUGCGAAUGCUGACAUAAGUAACGAUAAAGCGGGUGAAAAGCCCGCUCGCCG
rnacentral:rRNA from 1 species